UACAGAGGGUGCGAGCGUUGUUCGGAAUUAUUGGGCGUAAAGCGCGUGUAGGCGGCUUUGCAAGUCGGGUGUGAAAGCCCUCAGCUUAACUGAGGAAGUGCGCCCGAAACUGCUUGGCUUGAGUACCGGAGAGGAUGGCGGAAUUCCCCAAGUAGAGGUGAAAUUCGUAGAUAUGGGGAGGAACACCGGUGGCGAAGGCGGCCAUCUGGACGGAUACUGACGCUGAGACGCGAAAGCGUGGGUAGCAAACAGG
rnacentral:rRNA from 1 species